AACGAACGCUGGCGGCAGGCCUAACACAUGCAAGUCGAGCGAGGACUUCGGUCCUAGCGGCGGACGGGUGAGUAACGCGUGGGAACGUGCCCUUUGGUACGGAAUAGCCCCGGGAAACUGGGAGUAAUACCGUAUGGUGUCUUCGGACUAAAGAUUUAUCGCCAAAGGAUCGGCCCGCGUUGGAUUAGGUAGUUGGUGGGGUAAUGGCCUACCAAGCCGACGAUCCAUAGCUGGUUUGAGAGGAUGAUCAGCCACACUGGGACUGAGACACGGCCCAGACUCCUACGGGAGGCAGCAGUGGGGAAUCUUAGACAAUGGGGGCAACCCUGAUCUAGCCAUGCCGCGUGAGUGAUGAAGGCCCUAGGGUUGUAAAGCUCUUUCAGCUGGGAAGAUAAUGACGGUACCAGCAGAAGAAGCCCCGGCUAACUCCGUGCCAGCAGCCGCGG
rnacentral:rRNA from 1 species